UGAGGAAUACCGGCGAGAAAUCGCCGACAAGACCGCAUACGGUUCUCUCGCGUCAGUCGGGGAAGGAAAGCUUUUGCUCGCGAGAGCAGGGGCGCUGGAAGAUGGGCCUGUGGCCGAUUAGCUAGUUGGUGAGGUAAGGGCUCACCAAGGCGACGAUCGGUAGCUGGUCUGAGAGGACGAUCAGCCACACUGGGAUUGAGAACGGCCCAG
rnacentral:rRNA from 1 species